GGGAGGCAGCAGUGGGGAAUACUGCGCAAUGGGGGAAACCCUGACGCAGCGACGCCGCGUGGAUGAUGAAGGCCUUUGGGUUGUAAAAUCCUGUUCUGGGGGAAGAAAGCUUAAGGGUCCAAUAAACCUUUAAGUUUGACGGUACCCCAAGAGAAAGCUCCGGCUAAUUAUGUGCCAGCAGCCGCGGUAAUACAUAGGGAGCAAGCGUUAUCCGGAAUUAUUGGGCGUAAAGAGCUCGUAGGCGGUCUUAAAAGUCAGUUGUGAAAUUAUCAGGCUCAACCUGAUAAGGUCAUCUGAAACUCUAAGACUUGAGAUUAGAAGAGGAAAGUA
rnacentral:rRNA from 1 species